rnacentral:rRNA from 1 species
AAUCCAUAGGUUAAUGAGGCGAACCGGGGGAACUGAAACAUCUAAGUACCCCGAGGAAAAGAAAUCAACCGAGAUUCCCCCAGUAGCGGCGAGCGAACGGGGAGGAGCCCAGAGCCUGAAUCAGCAUGUGUGUUAGUGGAAGCGUCUGGAAAGGCGCGCGAUACAGGGUGACAGCCCCGUACACAAAAGCGCAUGUGCUGUGAGCUCGAUGAGUAGGGCGGGACACGUGGUAUCCUGUCUGAAUAUGGGGGGACCAUCCUCCAAGGCUAAAUACUCCUGACUGACCGAUAGUGAACCAGUACCGUGAGGGAAAGGCGAAAAGAACCCCGGCGAGGGGAGUGAAAAAGAACCUGAAACCGUGUACGUACAAGCAGUGGGAGCACCCUUUGGGGUGUGACUGCGUACCUUUUGUAUAAUGGGUCAGCGACUUAUAUUCUGUAGCAAGGUUAACCGAAUAGGGGAGCCGGAGGGAAACCGAGUCUUAAUUGGGCGUUAAGUUGCAGGGUAUAGACCCGAAACCCGGUGAUCUAGCCAUGGGCAGGUUGAAGGUUGGGUAACACUAACUGGAGGACCGAACCGACUAAUGUUGAAAAAUUAGCGGAUGACCUGUGGCUGGGGGUGAAAGGCCAAUCAAACCGGGAGAUAGCUGGUUCUCCC